rfam:Alligator mississippiensis ScZkoYb_834, whole genome shotgun sequence.
CGCCUGGCUUUUUUAGAAGCCACAAAAGUAAAUUGUAAAUUAACUU